AACACGUUGAGAACAUGGAAAAAGAUCCAAUUUUAUUCGUGUUUUUACUCAACGCCGAAUUGUUUUGUGGUAGAGGAGGACAUCUACUCUUCUUUGCUGUUUAAAAUCAAUCUAGAUCUGAACCUCUCCAGCGUAUCCUAGCAGAUUCCGAAGACUUUAAAAUCACAUCAGAGCCUGAGGUUGCGAUUACACCAAGUUUGCAGCUUCAGAUGAUCAUUGUCUCCGUUCUUUAAACAUGGGAUGACAGAGUAUGUCAUCGGAGAUUUCAUCAAUAUAUUUGGAAGCGUAGCUAUUAAUUUUGGCACAAACCUUCUCAAAUUGAGACCUAAUCAAGUUUGCAUUUGCCUCAGUCAGUACCAUUUGGUUGCAUUUGUCCUUCUGAGCCUUACUCUGUUGGUUUUGUGUAUUAUCAGAGAGAGAGAGGUUAGCUUUACAGAAUAAUGGUGGAGGAGAAACGCAAUUGAUGCCGCAUAUACAGUUUCAGACAUGGAUAGUUAAUAGCAACUGUUGAUGAGAUUAAAAGGUCAAGAAAAAAAAAGUAUAGGUGUCAUUCCUCCACUCCAAUGUUUUAGUAAUUAUCUUCCGAUCAGGCUCUGUUUUCUUAAAUUAUUUUUUACUUUCAUUCUGCAGGAUGAGAACAAGUGAGGAACCGCCAGUAUGUGUGACAUGCUUUUCAUAGCAACGUCGCACUCCUUGCCAAAUUCAUCUUCUCUCUUGACCUGAGCUAAGGUUCAUAAAUCAAAUGAAAAAUAUGAAGGUAGCUACUUGACUCCAUGUUCAAGUAAUGGUGGAUAAGUAUGAAGUCAGCUGUGAUGGUAUGAAAGGAUACUUGACUCCAUGGGCCUAUAUUCAGGUCUCCAGUGAAGGGUAUGGAGGGCAUCUUGACCAACCAACUCAUGUGAGAUCACGGACCUAGAUCAGAGGUUUUUCUAACUUUUAACUCCUCAGCUUCCCCGCCCGUCACACUAUGGGAGUUGGCCAUGCGAAUCUUUCUCAGUCUCUCUCGCUCUUCUUCUUCUCCUAUGAUUAUUGUUUCCAGUCUUCACAACAUUUUUUAACUGCGGCACUAAAAGGGUUUUACUUAAACCAAACUUUGUA